AACGAACGCUGGCGGCAUGCCUAACACAUGCAAGUCGAACGAGAUCUUCGGGUCUAGUGGCGCACGGGUGCGUAACGCGUGGGAAUCUGCCCUUUGGUUCGGAAUAACAGUUGGAAACGACUGCUAAUACCGGAUGAUGACGAAAGUCCAAAGAUUUAUCGCCAGAGGAUGAGCCCGCGUAGGAUUAGCUAGUUGGUGUGGUAAAGGCGCUCCAAGGCGACGAUCCUUAGCUGGUCUGAGAGGAUGAUCAGCCACACUGGGACUGAGACACGGCCCAGACUCCUACGGGAGGCAGCAGUGGGGAAUAUUGGACAAUGGGCGAAAGCCUGAUCCAGCGAUGCCGCGUGAGUGAUGAAGGCCUUAGGGUUGUAAAGCUCUUUUACCCGGGAUGAUAAUGACAGUACCGGGAGAAUAAGCUCCGGCUAACUCCGUGCCAGCAGCCGCCGCAG
rnacentral:rRNA from 1 species